rnacentral:rRNA from 1 species
GGCGAGUGAAGCGGCAAAAGCUCAAAUUUGAAAUCUGGCACUUUCAGUGUCCGAGUUGUAAUUUGAAGAAGGUAUCUUUGGGUCUGGCUCUUGUCUAUGUUUCUUGGAACAGAACGUCACAGAGGGUGAGAAUCCCGUGCGAUGAGAUGACCCAGACCUAUGUAAAGUUCCUUCGAAGAGUCGAGUUGUUUGGGAAUGCAGCUCUAAGUGGGUGGUAAAUUCCAUCUAAAGCUAAAUAUUGGCGAGAGACCGAUAGCGAACAAGUACAGUGAUGGAAAGAUGAAAAGAACUUUGAAAAGAGAGUGAAAAAGUACGUGAAAUUGUUGAAAGGGAAGGGCUUGAGAUCAGACUUGGUAUUUUGUAUGUUACUCUUUCGGGGGUGGCCUCUACAGUUUACCGGGCCAGCAUCAGUUUGGGCGGUAGGAGAAUUGCAAAGAAAUGUGGCACUGCUUCGGUAGUGUGUUAUAGUCUUUGUCGAUACUGCCAGCCUAGACUGAGGACUGCGGCUUCGGCCUAGGAUGUUGGCAUAAUGAUCUUAAGUCGCCCGUCUUGAAACACGGAC